AGGAUUUUAAGUUAUAUAAACUAAAGGCCUUCAAAGUCUAAAAAAAAAGAAUUCUCUUUUAAAUCCUA
rnacentral:tRNA from 1 species